rfam:Oryza rufipogon genomic scaffold, chr01
CCUAGUUUCCGUGUACAACGUUUGACCGUCCGUCUUAUUUAAAAAAAUUAUAAAAAAAAUUAAAAAGACAAGUCACGCAUAAAAUAUUAAUCAUGUUUUAUCAUCUAACAACAAUGAAAAUACGAAUUAUAAAAAAAUUUCAUAUAAGACAGACAGUCAAAGUAGGGUUUGACUUUUU